UACGUAGGGGGGCUAGCGUUGUCCGGAAUCAUUGGGCGUAAAGAGCGUGUAGGCGGCCCGGUAAGUCCGCUGUAAAAGUCAAAGGCUCAACCUUUGAAUGUCAGUGGAUACUGCCGGGCUAGAGUCCGGAAGAGGCGAGUGGAACUCCUGGUGUAGCGGUGGAAUGCGCAGAUAUCAGGAAGAACACCAACGGCGAAGGCAGCUCGCUAGGACGGUACUGACGCUGAGACGCGAAAGCGUGGGAGCGAACAGG
rnacentral:rRNA from 1 species